rnacentral:rRNA from 1 species
UACGGAGGGUGCAAGCGUUGUCCGGAUUUAUUGGGUUUAAAGGGUGCGUAGGCGGCUGAUUACGUCAGUGGUGAAAGUUUUGGGCUUAACCCAGAAAUUGCCAUUGAUACUGGUCGGCUUGAGUAUUGGAGGGGUACAUGGAAUUGAUGGUGUAGCGGUGAAUUGCAUAGAGACCAGGAGGAACACCGAUAGCGAAGGCAGGGUACUGGCCAAUAACUGACGCUGAUGCGCGAAAGCAUGGGGAGCGAACAGG